rnacentral:misc_RNA from 1 species
AUGCGAUAAGUAGUGUGAAUUGCAGAAUUCAGUGAAUCAUCGAAUCUUUGAACGCACAUUGCGCCCUUUGGUAUUCCAAAGGGCAUGCCUGUUCGAGCGUCAUUUGUACCCUCAAGCUUUGCUUGGUGUUGGGCGUCUUGUCUCCAGUUCGCUGGAGACUCGCCUUAAAGUAAUUGGCAGCCGGCCUACUGGUUUCGGAGCGCAGCACAAGUCGCGCUCUCUUCCAGCCAAGGUCAGCAUCCACAAAGCCUUUUUUCAACUUUUGACCUCGGAUCAGGUAGGGAUACCCGCUGAACUUAA